rnacentral:rRNA from 1 species
GCGAUACAGGGUGACAGCCCCGUACACAAAAAUGCACAUACUGUGAGCUCGAUGAGUAGGGCGGGACACGUGGUAUCCUGUCUGAAUAUGGGGGGACCAUCCUCCAAGGCUAAAUACUCCUGACUGACCGAUAGUGAACCAGUACCGUGAGGGAAAGGCGAAAAGAACCCCGGCGAGGGGAGUGAAAAAGAACCUGAAACCGUGUACGUACAAGCAGUGGGAGCCUCUUAAUGGGGUGACUGCGUACCUUUUGUAUAAUGGGUCAGCGACUUAUAUUCUGUAGCAAGGUUAACCGAAUAGGGGAGCCGAAGGGAAACCGAGUCUUAACUGGGCGUUAAGUUGCAGGGUAUAGA